GGGCUGAAGGUCUGAGCAAUGCUCUCCCUCCCACAAUGUUUUCCUGCAAGGCACCAGGGGCUGAAGGUCUGAGCAAUGCUCUCCGUCCCACAAUGUUUUCCUACACGGCACCAGGGGCUGAAGGUCUGAGCAAUGCUCUCCCUCCCACAAU